rnacentral:rRNA from 1 species
CCUACGGGAGGCAGCAGUAGGGAAUCUUUCACAAUGGGCGAAAGCCUGAUGGAGCAACGCCGCGUGCAGGAUGAAGGCCUUCGGGUUGUAAACUGCUUUUAUAAGCGAGAAAUAUGAUGGUAACUUAUGAAUAAGGAUCGGCUAACUACGUGCCAGCAGCCGCGGUCAUACGUAGGAUCCGAGCAUUAUCCGGAGUGACUGGGUGUAAAGAGUUGCGUAGGUGGCAUAAUAAGUAGCUAGUGAAAUCUGGUGGUUCAACCAUUCAGACUAUUAGCUAAACUGUUAAGCUCGAGACCGUUAGGGGUAACUGGAAUUUCUAGUGUAGGAGUGAAAUCCGUAGAUAUUAGAAAGAACACCAAUAGCGUAGGCAGGUUACUGGGACGGUUCUGACACUAAGGCACGAAAGCGUAGGGAGCAAACGGGAUUAGAUACCCCAGUAGUC